GGCUAAAAAAUGUCAUAGUAUAGUAUGACGUCAAAAAUGGUUAAAAAAUGUAAUAGUAUAGUAUGGUGUCAAAAAUCAUUGAAAAAUGUCAUAGUAUAGUAUGGCGUCAAAAACGCUCAAAAAAUAUCAUCGUAUAGUAUGGUGUCAAAAACGCCCAAAAAAUGUCAUAGUAUAGUAAGGCGUCAAGAAUCAUCAAAAAAUGUCAUAGUAUAGUAAGGCGUCAAAAAUGGCUAAAAAAUGUCAUAGUAUAGUAAGGUGUCAAAAACGCUCAAAAAAUGUCAUAGUAUAGUAUGGUGUCAAAAACGCUCAAAAAAUGUCACAGUAUAGUAUGGUGUCAAAAACGCCCAAAAAAUGUCAUAGUAUAGUAUGGUGUCAAAAACGCCCAAAAAAUGUCAUAGUAUAGUAUGGUGUCAAAAAUCAUCAAAAAAUGUCAUCGUAUAGUAAGGUGUCAAAAAUGGCUAAAAAAUGUCAUAGUAUAGUAUGGCGUCAAAAAUCAUCCAAAAUUGUCAUAGUAUAGUAUGGCGUCAAAAACGCCUAAAAAAUGUCAUAGUAUAGUAUGGUGUCAAAAAAAGUCAAAAAUUGUUAUAGUAUAGUAUGACGUCAAAUAUCAUCAAAAAAAGUCAUAGUAUAGUAUGGUGUCAAAAAAAGUCAAAAAAUGUCAUAGUAUAGUAAGGCGUCAAAAAUCAUCAAAAAAUGUCAUAGUAUAGUAAGGCGUCAAAAAUCAUCAAAAAAUGUCAUAGUAUAGUAUGGUGUCAAAAAUGGCUAAAAAAUGUCAUAGUAUAGUAUGGCGUCAAAAACGCUCAAAAAAUGUCAUAGUAUAGUAUGGUGUCAAAAAAAGUCAAAAAUUGUUAUAGUAUAGUAUGACGUCAAAUAUCAUCAAAAAAAGUCAUAGUAUAGUAUGGUGUCAAAAAAAGUCAAAAAAUGUCAUAGUAUAGUAAGGCGUCAAAAAUCAUCAAAAAAUGUCAUAGUAUAGUAAGGCGUCAAAAAUCAUCAAAAAAUGUCAUAGUAUAGUAAGGCGUCAAAAAUCAUCAAAAAAUGUCAUCGUAUACUAUGGCGUCAAAAAUGGUCAAAAAAUAUCAUAGUAUAGUAAGGUGUCAAAAAUGGCUAAAAAAUGUCAUAGUAUAGUAUGGUGUCAAAAAUGGUCAAAAAAUAUCAUAGUAUAGUAAGGUGUCAAAAACACUCAAAAAAUGUCAUAGUAUAGUAUGGUGUCAAAAAAAGUCAAAAAAUGUCAUAGUAUAGUAUGGCGUCAAAAACGCUCAAAAAAUGUCAUAGUAUAGUAUGGUGUCAAAAACGCCCAAAAAAUGUCAUAGUAUAGUAUGGCGUCAAAAAUCAUCAAAAAAUGUCAUCGUAUAGUAAGGUGUCAAAAAUGGCUAAAAAAUGUCAUAGUAUAGUAUGGUGUCAAAAACGCCCAAAAAAUGUCAUAGUAUAGUAUGGUGUCAAAAAAAGUCAAAAAUUGUUAUAGUAUAGUAUGACGUCAAAUAUCAUCAAAAAAAGUCAUAGUAUAGUAUGGUGUCAAAAAAAGUCAAAAAAUGUCAUAGUAUAGUAAGGCGUCAAAAAUCAUCAAAAAAUGUCAUAGUAUAGUAAGGCGUCAAAAAUGGCUAAAAAAUGUCAUAGUAUAGUAUGGUGUCAAAAACGCUCAAAAAAUGUCAUAGUAUAGUAUGGUGUC